rnacentral:rRNA from 1 species
GACGAACGCUGGCGGCGUGCCUAAUACAUGCAAGUCGAGCGGACAGAAGGGAGCUUGCUCCCGGAAGUCAGCGGCGGACGGGUGAGUAACACGUGGGCAACCUGCCCUGCAGAUUGGGAUAACUCCGGGAAACCGGGGCUAAUACCGAAUAACAUUGGAAACCUCAUGGUUUCCUUUUAAAAGGCGGCUUCGGCUGUCACUGCAGGAUGGGCCCGCGGCGCAUUAGCUAGUUGGUGAGGUAACGGCUCACCAAGGCGACGAUGCGUAGCCGACCGGGGAGGGUGACCGGCAAAACGGGGACUGGGACACGGCCCAGACUCCUACGGGAGGCAGCAGUAGGGAAUCUUCCGCAAUGGACGAAAGUCUGACGGAGCAACGCCGCGUGAGUGAAGAAGGUUUUCGGAUCGUAAAACUCUGUUGUCAGGGAAGAACAAGUACGGUAGUAACUGCCCGUACCUUGACGGUACCUGGCCAGAAAGCCACGGCUAACUACGUGCCAGCAGCCGCCGCAGUAA